rnacentral:lncRNA from 1 species
AGCAGUCAUUAAUGUGAUUUAAUCAUAAAGAUUUGUCUUCAAGUUUUUUCCUUUUUUUUUUCAAAAUAUCAGCUAUUUCCCUCUGUAUUUUUUACCAAAACAAUUAUCAUAAGUGCUAGAAUAUAUACUAUUUUGCAGGAAUAAAAUAACCAAGACAUAAUAUAUUUCUUUGGUGGAUUUUGUUUUGUAAGAAAUGCCAGCACUAACUAUAUAGAGUUGAUUCUUUGCCUAGAAUAAUUUUUUUCCCUUUUAAGAGUCAUAAGUAACAUUUUAUUUUCACAAAGCAUGCAUAUAACUUACACAAUAUAGUCAGGGACCUGAGGUGUAACUUGCUAAGUGAACCCCAAGGUUAUUUUAUCUUGCAAAAGAAACCUAAACCAAACUAAGGGCCUUACAGUUUAUGGUUAGACUGAAUCAAAUGCUGUAACCUCAGUUUUUCCAAAAACAGCUCUUGACUGCACAAGCAGGUCAUGCAGUUGUUAAGUAUGAAAUAGCACUGAUAGGAAAUGCAUGUGCAUCUUUGCAGACUGUAUUUCCUUUGGAAAAGACUUUUCUACUUUUAAUAUAAUUAAGCCAUAACAGUUUCAUGCUGUGGAAAGGAUGAAAAGGUUCAUUUUAAGAGAUUAUAUAGUAUGAACUUUCACAUUUAUUGUGAAACAUCUAACUUUGCCAGUGUUCAGCAAGUUUUCUUUUGGGGUGUUGGAGGGUGGUAAUGGGGAGGGGUAGUGUUGGUUUUAGGGGUUUUAACUAUGUGAAAUUUGAAAUCAGGACAGUUGUUGGCUAUGGUACUUACUAGUUUUGUAGUAAUGUUUUGCUAGCCUGACUUUCCUUACUGGUUUUUAUGUCCAUGGUCCCCGGUGACUGUUACUCUUGUUUGGGGUGUGUGCAUAGUAGUGUCUCAUCUGUGUGUAGGCAGUCAGUGUAUGCACACGGUGUGACAGUGGAACGGGGUGUGGCUGGGAGUGGGGUGCUGGAGCUUUAAGAGCAUUUGUUUUUAUUCAGAACAGUAUUUCCCAUCUUUUGCCUGCAGGCAGGGAAAGUGUACAGUAUUUAUUUUGUUUCUGUUUUACUCUGAAUUUGUAAGUCUCUAAGUAGCUUAUAUUAUUAUUAUAGGGAAGAUAAGUGACUUGCUUAAAGUUGUAUUUAGUAUUCUUACUUUCUAAUUUCUGUAUUUUAAAAUAUUGAAAUUAAAAUUGUAUUACUUUUGUUCUGAUUUUUUUAGCACUCAGUGUAUUCUUUGCUCAUUUUGUCUAAAAGUAUAAAUGUUGAAAGUUGUAUAAAAAUGUCUGAAAGAAAAAAAUCUGAAUUCUAUAU